AUUGAACGCUGGCGGCAGGCUUAACACAUGCAAGUCGAGCGGAGAUGAGGUGCUUGCACCUUAUCUUAGCGGCGGACGGGUGAGUAAUGCUUAGGAAUCUGCCUAUUAGUGGGGGACAACAUUCCGAAAGGAAUGCUAAUACCGCAUACGUCCUACGGGAGAAAGCAGGGGAUCUUCGGACCUUGCGCUAAUAGAUGAGCCUAAGUCGGAUUAGCUAGUUGGUGGGGUAAAGGCCUACCAAGGCGACGAUCUGUAGCGGGUCUGAGAGGAUGAUCCGCCACACUGGGACUGAGACACGGCCCAGACUCCUACGGGAGGCAGCAGUGGGGAAUAUUGGACAAUGGGGGGAACCCUGAUCCAGCCAUGCCGCGUGUGUGAAGAAGGCCUUAUGGUUGUGAAGCACUUUAAGCGAGGAGGAGGCUACUGAGACUAAUACUCUUGGAUAGUGGGCGUUACUCGCAGAAUAAGCACCGGCUAACUCUGUGCCAGCAGCCGCGGUAA
rnacentral:rRNA from 1 species